GAACAUAUUCAUUACAUUUUUAAAAAAUCUGUUUUUCUGAUCCUGUCUGAUCUUGGAAGCUAAGUAGGGUCGGGCCUCGUUAGUACUUGGAUGGGACACCACCUAGGAAGACCAGGUGCUAUAGGCG
rnacentral:rRNA from 1 species